GUUAAUGAGGCGAACCGGGGGAACUGAAACAUCUAAGUACCCCGAGGAAAAGAAAUCAACCGAGAUUCCCCAAGUAGCGGCGAGCGAACGGGGAGCAGCCCAGAGCCUGAAUCAGUGUGUGUGUUAGUGGAAGCGUCUGGAAAGGCGCGCGAUACAGGGUGACAGCCCCGUACACAAAAAUGCACAUAUUGUGAGCUCGAUGAGUAGGGCGGGACACGUGGUAUCCUGUCUGAAUAUGGGGGGACCAUCCUCCAAGGCUAAAUACUCCUGACUGACCGAUAGUGAACCAGUACCGUGAGGGAAAGGCGAAAAGAACCCCGGCGAGGGGAGUGAAAAAGAACCUGAAACCGUGUACGUACAAGCAGUGGGAGCACGCUUAGGCGUGUGACUGCGUACCUUUUGUAUAAUGGGUCAGCGACUUAUAUUCUGUAGCAAGGUUAACCGAAUAGGGGAGCCGAAGGGAAACCGAGUCUUAACUGGGCGUUAAGUUGCAGGGUAUAGACCCGAAACCCGGUGAUCUAGCCAUGGGCAGGUUGAAGGUUGGGUAACACUAACUGGAGGACCGAACCGACUAAUGUUGAAAAAUUAGCGGAUGACUUGUGGCUGGGGGUGAAAGGCCAAUCAAACCGGGAGAUAGCUGGUUCUCCCCGAAAGCU
rnacentral:rRNA from 1 species